CAACAGAGAUGACAUCAGUAGAAGCUCAGGCUAGAAGGGAGACGCGGCAGCAGCAGGCCCGGUCUGCCCCGCCCCCAAAAGUGACUGGCAGCACACACAGCCUGGAUCUACAAGAUUUUACAAAACAUAUAUGUUUUGGUUUUCACAAAUCCUCCCAUCUGUUGAUGUCACUAGCUCAAUAAACCUCUUUGUUCUAAGAGAAGAAAGAAGUUUCUGUAAAAGCAGGGGCUUCUGAGAAAACAGGGGAAUGUGAACUUCAGACUUCACGGCCUUCACACACUUCUGCCCUGAGCAGCGCUGAUAAGAAUCCAGUCUCUCAGGUUGAGCAAGAGAAGUCUGAAAAGCUCCCACAGUCCAAAGUGAGUGGUCCUCUCAUUGAUGCCUCCACUCUUAUCUUGAGAAGCCAAGGGAAACCUUCUCCUUUGCCCUCUGAAGCUUCAUUGAAAAUCACCCACAAGAGGCAGACUAAUUAGCAAAAAGGCAGACAAAUGUAUUAACAUGUAUGCGAGAGCCUUCAGAAUGAAGACCCAGAGAUACAAGGGAAAUUGUUCAUUUCUAUGCAUAGGUUUGAGAGAGUAUGCAAAGCCAUGUAGAAGCAUGAAUCGAAAAAACGGGUGUGAUCUAAGGCUGAUGAACAGAGCAGGGAGAAUCCAGCCAGGCCUGUCCUCUAGGUUCUUCUUGGCUUCUCUGAGCAUGCAUCCUUUUUUCUCUGGGGAAUGACCCUCUCUACAAUGGGGUUCUUAUGACCUACAGUCAAACAUGGUAGGUGAGAUAGUUUUUUAUGGCCACUUUUUACAUAAAAAAUGUCAAGGGCAUGCUAGAGUAAUAUUUUUAGGUUUUACGGCUGGCUUUGGGGAAAAGAGGCUCUGGUUUCUCUGACUUGCCUUGGGGAAGAGGGAUUCUAAUUUCAAUGGCUCCCAAGGGAAGAGAAUAAGACUGACAGAUGGGAGGGAAAGAGAAAGGUCAUAGACAAACUUUUGCUUCUGAGACUCUCAUUUCAGAGUGUUGGUUUCUGAGUUUCAAUGGUAGGAUCAAGAGGAUGAAGAAAUCUAGGUGAUUUAGCACAUUUCAGGGCUUAUGGUGGAAGAAGCCAUUUCCCACUGGUGGUGACACUGGAGAGCAAGAAUCAAACCCCCAAGGCUGCAAUGCUUGUGUUGAAUGUUAUGCACAAUCUGCUAAAACACAUAGUCUCUUUCUCUGUGAAAAUUUCAGCUCACAGACAACAGCAGAAGCACGAGCAUCUGCUAGACUCAGCAAAGGUGUGGGGGCAUUGCUCUCACCUCUCAGGCAUAAUCUAGCAGGAGAGAAAUACAGCAUCAUCAACUCCAAAGAAGAUGAACAGGGAAGGGAGCCACAUGGAGAGAGUCAAUGCAGCAGAGACAGAACACAGAAGAGGAAGCUGCCGAUUGUCACCAGAGCUCAGGAAGCCAUCUUUGAGAAGGUGUCACCUGAAUUGCAUUUCUCCCCCCUUAGAUUUAUUGAGAUAUAAUUGACAAAUAAACUUGUAUAUA